UGCUCCGCCUGGGGGAGUAUGGCCGCAAGGCUGAAACUCAAAGGAAUUGACGGGGGCUCACACAAGCGGUGGAGGAUGUGGCUUAACUCGAGGCUACGCGAAGAACCUUAUCCUAGACUUGACAUGCUUAAGAAUCUUCUGGAAACAGAGGAGUGCCCUUCGGGGAGCUUUUGCACAGGUGCUGCAUGGCUGUCGUCAGCUCGUGUCGUGAGAUGUUGGGUUAAGUCCCUUAACGAGCGAAACCCUUAUCUUUAGUUGCCAGCGGGUAAUGCCGGGGACUCUAAAGAGACUGCCGGUGUCAAACCGGAGGAAGGUGGGGAUGACGUCAAGUCCUCAUGGCCCUUAUGUUUAGGGCUGCACACGUCCUACAAUGGUACGUACAAAGGGAAGCAAAGUCGCGAGGCCAAGCUAAUCCCAAAAAGCGUGCCUCAGUUCGGAUUGUAGGCUGCAAUUCGCCUACAUGAAGCUGGAAUCGCUAGUAAUCGCGGGUCAGCAUACCGCGGUGAAUGUGUUCCUGA
rnacentral:rRNA from 1 species